GAUGAACGCUGGCGGCGUGCUUAACACAUGCAAGUCGAACGGAAAGGCUCCUGCUUGCUGGGGUACUCGAGUGGCGAACGGGUGAGUAACACGUGAGUGAUCUGCCCUGCACUUCGGGAUAAGCCUGGGAAACUGGGGCUAAUACCGGAUAGGACCACCUUUUGGAUGGUGUGGUGUGAAGUUUUUCGGUGGGGGAUGAGCUCGCGGCUUAUCAGCUUGUUGGUGGGGUAAUGGCCUACCAAGGCGUCGACGGGUAGCCGGCCUGAGAGGGUGUACGGCCACAUUGGGACUGAGAUACGGCCCAGACUCCUACGGGAGGCAGCAGUGGGGAAUAUUGCACAAUGGGCGCAAGCCUGAUGCAGCGACGCCGCGUGGGGGAUGACGGCCUUCGGGUUGUAAACUCCUUUCGCUAGGGACGAAGCGUAAGUGACGGUAAUUGGUGAAGAAGCACCAGCUAACUACGUG
rnacentral:rRNA from 1 species